AGUCAUUCAUUACAUAAUAAUUGGAGUUAUACCCUCUCAACAACAUCGAAUGCAUGCGCCUUUAUCACAAACGCAACAUUUGGUUUUGCAUUGUGAUGCAAAAGUGCAACCUGAAAUUCACGAAACAAACAUAUUUCAUAUAGAAUAGAUAAAAAAAAAAUUAAAAGCUUUCAUUUUAAAUGUUGUAGACCUAGCAGAAGAAAACCUAAAUCUACGAAUUUUUUAACCCAAAAUACACAUUUGUAAUCGUGAUUACAAAAAUAAUUAUGUAUACAUAAGAAAAAGUUGAAUCUAUUAGUACCAAAAUUGUAAUUAAAAAACAAACAUCAAACAUCCAUUGCAAACAUUCCAUAAGAAUAUAUUUUUGAGUUAUUUAGUUUCUUUGAAGAUGUAUCAACCUUUAUGCUAUGCAAAUUUUAAUUAUAAUUAUAAACAGAUAACGAGAAAAUGAAAGAAAAAAGUUUUAAAAAAAUUAAAACUGAAUAUACCUGUAAUAGAUACGCGAGUGCUACGACUUGCAGCAGACAGUUCUAGUGAUGCUUUUGGUGCGUAUGAUUGCUCGGAUACAUAUGAUGGUUUUGGUGCAUACGAAGACUCUGGCACCUCCUGUGUUAAUGAAACAAGAACAAACAUGACAAAAAUCAUGUAAACCAAAACAUUGGUUGAUUUUGUCAUCUUAAACAACUAUGCUUAUUUAUGCCUGUAGGUACUUUUGGUUUUU
rnacentral:lncRNA from 1 species